AUGGAGACAGGUAAGAGAUCGGUGAUCGCCAGGGUUGAGUGGGAGAGAAGGAACAGUGGGGUACGAAGGGCUCCUAGGGUGGCGAACCCCUCUGCGUGCCCCUGCAGUGGCGAGCCGGUGCCAGAUGCCCAGGAUGUACUGCACCAGGAGCCGGCUGCGGUCCUCGGGGGGGAUAACGCGGGAGGGGGAGGGCAGGCGCAUCACUGCAGCAGGGGACCGCUCUGCGGAGAGGCGCUGAGACGGGAACGCACCACGCCUCUGCGCCAUCACACGCAAAGCUCUUCCAAAUUGGACCAAAACUGUUCCGAGUCCCCAGAUGUUCCUUUCCUUCCUUCUCCACCAGCAUCGUGUGCGUGAAAAGCAAAUGACUGUCACUUUCACACAAUCGUGCUCGUUCUGACUGCAGAAAUCUGUUGCGUUCUUCAAGUCCAGGACAACCCAUCGGGACGCCGAACCCACCAGAAGGUAACUAUGAAUGGUUAAAAAAAUCAUGCUAAAUUCUGCAUAGAGAUAGCUAAUCACUCUUCCCUGGAAAAACUUACUUCCUUAUUGUAUCAGUAUCUACUCUCAUGCAACAAAGCGCUCUAAAACUUCAGUGGCCUAAAACAAAUAUUCAUGGCUUCACUGUUUCUGCGAGGUCGUCGCUGAUGGCCCUGGUCUCAGAACCUCAUGCUCCUGUCGUUGGCGUUGGGAUGCUGGCGGACUGCAGCCAGCUGAAGGUUUGACGAGGGGCCGGGGACACCCCAAGCUGGCCUUCUGUUUCUGUCUGCUUGCUGUCCGGGGCCUCGGUUCCUCCUGCGUGGACAUCUCCCGAGGCUGUGUGUCUCCUCGCGACGUGGCAGGGGAAAGAGGAUGGAUCUUGUAGUGCAUUCCAUGACCCAGUCACAUAAGUUCACAAUUGUCCCUUCCGCUGUGUUACCUUCCACGGAAGUCCGUCACCGCGUCAGCCCACACACACCUCAGGGGAAGAGAAGUAGGCACCACCUUAUUGUUUUUUUUAAUGAUUUUUAUUUUUUGCGGUGCUCAGACCAGAAUGCAGGGCAUUAUGCAGGCUGGACAAGCGCCCAGCCACCCAGCUACACCCUGAGCUCGACACCAUCUUUUUAUUUUGGUACCGGGGAUCGAACUCUCGAUCUUACACUUGCAAGGCAGGCGGCAGCACACUGAGCUAAAUCCCUGGCCCUCAAUUCCAUCUUUUAAAGGGAGGAAUAUCAAAGAGUUUGUGGACAUACUUUAAACCCACCGCAGUUAUCUUCUGCCAAAAGACGGCUCUCCUGCCUGGCUUCCUGUCUCUGGCUGCUCCCCUCAGCAUCCCUGUGUGGUUCUGCCCUUGAAUACUGGGCCUCUGGGGCUCCUCACUUCCCUGCUUUUGCUUUGGGGCGCAUCCUGCACUCCUAUGUACCACCUUCAGGACAAUCUUUCUUUUCUUUUCUUUCUUUCUUUCUUUCUUUCUUUCUUGCUUUCUUUCUUGCUUUCUUUCUUGCUUUCUUUCUUGCUUUCUUUCUUGCUUUCUUUCUUUCUUUCUUGCUUUCUUUCUUGCUUUCUUUCUUGCUAGGUUGAUUCAGUUGUUAUGCAGUGCUGGGGGCCAAACCCAGGGCUUUGCACGUGCCAAGCAUACCCUUCACCACCAAGCUGCACCCUCAGCGCUGGCACAGACUUUCUGAAUGGACUGUGGCUCUGUGGACCCUGCCGUCUCUGUUGCAGACACUCAGCUCUCCUGCUGUCUGUGAGAGCAACCACAGGUCAUACAGAAAUGAAUGGGCUUGGGCUGGGGAUUCAGCUCAGUGGUUCCGCCGCCUGCCUCCAAAGUGCAAGGACCUGAGUUCAAUCCCUAUAGAAACAAAUGGGCAGCCGGGCAGGAUGGCGCACACCUGUACUCCCAGCACUCAGGAGGCUGAGGCAGGAGGAUCACUGUGAGUUCGAGACCAGCCUGGGCUACAUAGUGAGUUCCAGGUCAGUCUCAACUACAUAGUGAGAGCCUGUCUCAAAACAAAACAAAACAAAACAAACAACCAAACCAAUGGGCUUGACUGUGCUCCAGGCGUGGCUUAUUUGCAAAACAGGCUGCCAGCCCACUGACUAUAGUUUGUUGACCCUGCUGUGACUUACCCACCUUCUUGGACCCUUUUCCCUGGUCUCCACGCACGUCCACCUGCCCUCUGGAUAUAGAGUUUGCUCAGACUCGGCUCUGCCUGUGUUCUACUGCCCAUGCUUGGUUUUCUCCUAUAUUCUAUUUUGCAACUGCGGGAGCCACAGAACAAGGUGAUUUCAAACUCACCCUCCUUCCCCACCUGCCCCAUCCUGUCAGUCACCACGGAGUCUAACUCCUACAGUCAUCUCAAGCCUUUUCCUUGGCUCUGUUUCCACCGCCAUCACCCUAAGUGGUGCUUGAUCCUGCCUGAAACAUCACAGUCAUCACCUGGGCUCAACAGCGGCCUGCCAAAAAUGUCCUUGUUCGGUCCCUAGAAUCUGUGAAUGUAUUGCUUUCUGUGCCAAAGGUACUCUGCAGAGGUGACUAAGCAAGGACCUACAGAUGUCCUUAUUAUCCAGGUGGGCCCAGUGUGAUCAGAAGGGUGGAGCGAGAGGCGGAAGGGUCAGGGUGUGGCAAGGCAGACUGAAAUUGAAGUGAUGCUCUUUGAAAUUGCAGGAGGGGCCACAGCCCAAGGAAGGCAGGCACCUCUGGAAGCAGGAAAAGGCAAGAAAUGGAUCUUCCAUUUCAGCCUCCAGACGGCCCAGCCCUGCCUCCUCCUUAACUUUAGCUCAGUGAGUCUGACUUUGGCCUUCUGACCUCCAGAGCUGCCAGAUACUACGUUUGUGUUGUUUUAAGCUGCUAGAUCUCUGAUGAGUUUUCACCGCAGUGACGGGAAACCAGUACACGUCCUAACCCUUCCUGCAGUCUCGCUGUGCUCCAGCCCUGCUCUGCACACCUCCCCAGAACACAAACACAACCUGUCACUCCCCGCUGAGAAGGUUUCCGUAAGCUCCUCCGUGCCCCCACCGGCUCGUGCCCUCACCAGACCACGUGUUCUUGUGAUGUCCUCUCCCCGUGUUAGAUGGGCCGCUUUCUGCUUCAGAUAUGUUUUCAUGCCCUCUCUCCCCUGCCUGGCUCCUCCUGGUUCCCUUCAGUUCUCACUUAGGCACCCUGGCACAGGGCACAGGCCGGUCCCUCUGUGGAGGGUGUCACCAUGAUCCUCACCGCAGCCCUGCCCACAGCAAGGUCACGACUCACAUCUGUCUGCUGACCACGGUGGACCUGGCACUGGCAAACAUGAGUGGCAGGUUCUGGAGAGUUUAGGGGGUGCGGGUGAGGGGCUCCUGUACUAUCUGAUAACCCCCCAAGAAAGGGGAAGAAAAGCCCCCGGAGAGAUCUGGGGCUGACUUGCCCUGGUUUUCCUUCUGCUCAGCCGUGGUGGGGAAGACGCUGGGAAGGGUAGCCAGGCGUCACUGCUACAAUCAGCUGGGCCUUUCAUUCUCCCUCUACAAAGGGGAGCGAGCGAAUCAAAGGGAGAUAAAAGUGCACGUUCCGCAAAGGACAUGGCAACGAGGGAGAAGGAAGGGAGCGUGGCCGGAGAGAGGCAGAGGCACAGGGGAAAGCUGUGGCCUGCACAAAGGCCGAAAACCAGCCGAUCCCAAGGAUCAGACGGUGCAGACAGAAGACGGAAAGGGCCCGGGCUGUAUGGGAUGGGGCAGCCCUUCAGCCACGGAGGAGGGCACUGAGGAAAGAUAAAACACCUAGGGAAGAGGGCGGAGAGGGACGCCAAGUGGAGUUGGGACAAAAGCAUGAAAGACAAGAUUGUCACCGUCCAGUGAGCCGCUGGGUCAGGACAAAACAGAGGAGCUGGAGACAAAGGCAGAGGGAGGAGGUGGGAAGGGAGCAGCUGGCCUCUGCAUUGGUGGCAGGGCUGUCAGCAGGGGCUCCUCAGUACUGUCCAAGGGUCUGUGGCAGCUCUGGCAGAGGGAGGUAAUCAGGACACUGGCCUAUAUUUAAUGAAAGAAAUCCUAUCUGAUGAGCUGUCACCUUGAACUUUAAAUCUAUGAAAUUUAAAAAAUAAACACGAGCAAAGUGGCCUCAAGCUUUCCAAUACAUACAUGCACUUUUGUGUCUGGCUUUUUUCUCUCCACAGUAUGUCAUUUGUAGUGCAGCAAAGCUAUUAUCAUUGUUGUAUAGUAUUCCAUUGUGUAAAUAUACCACAGUGUAUUUAUCUGUUCUUCCACCUGGUGAGGGCCCCCCAUUUCUUACCCAAAACCUCAGGUCCACAUGCAUUUCAGAGUUCUAGAACGUCAAGACUCCCAGGCAGGGUCUGCAGGCCCUGUGAUCAAGCAUGUCAUGGUUUAUAUCUAGAUAUCCCCAGAGCCUUAUACGCUCAUAGGUGAGGAUUUGGGGAGGUGAUUAGAUCACGGGAGAAUCACAGUCAUCAGUGAGUCAGUCCACUGCUGAGUUUAUAGGUAAAUGGCAAGCUGAAAGUAAAGUCUCGUGGGAGGAGGCGGGUCACCGGGGCACGGCCUGGGAGGGUCUGUCUCCUUCCCUUCCCCGUCCGUCUCACUGGCUUCUGCAUCCACGCCAUGAGCUGCCCUCUCUGCGGUGCCCCUGUGCCCUGCCACCCUGCCUUAGAACCUCAACAGUCUGUGAGCCGAGUAACCGUCUCCUCCUUCGGGUGUGGGCAUCGAGAACUGUGUCUCAACUCUGAGCGAAGUAACUAAGACAAAGACUGAAUGUUUCUGCAGGGGAGGAAUGAGAACUCGCCCUAGGAGCUUCGCCUAAGAUCAGCCACGUUUCCACCUCCACACGAGUUCGGGCCAGAUUGGGUUUGGCUGCCAAAUAAGAGAUGGCAGUGUUUUUGGUUUUUAAGCACUUUUGCAUUUCAGAAUUCAGAAUUAGGGCUUUUGAGACGUAUACUUCUCUCGUUCCCAAUAAUAUUUGCUUUGGGAAACCCCC
ensembl:lincRNA